rnacentral:rRNA from 1 species
GAUGAACGCUAGCGACAGGCCUAACACAUGCAAGUCGAGGGGCAGCACAUGAGUAGCAAUACGAUGGUGGCGACCGGCGCACGGGUGAGUAACACGUAUGCAACCUGCCUUCUACUAUGGGAUAACCCGUUGAAAGACGGACUAAUACCGUAUAAUACAGGGGCUCCGCAUGGAGAUAUCUGUUAAAGAUUUAUUGGUAGAAGAUGGGCAUGCGUAUGAUUAGAUAGUUGGUGAGGUAACGGCUCACCAAGUCAACGAUCAUUAGGGGUUCUGAGGGGAAGGUCCCCCACACUGGUACUGAGACACGGACCAGACUCCUACGGGAGGCAGCAGCGAGGAAUAUUGGUCAAUGGACGAGAGUCUGAACCAGCCAAGUCGCGUGAAGGAAGACGGUUCUAUGAAUUGUAAACUUCUUUUGUGCAGGAAUAAAGUGGGUUACGUGUAACCUUUUGUAUGUACUGUACGAAUAAGGAUCGGCUAACUCCGUGCCAGCCGCCGCAGUAACAC